rnacentral:lncRNA from 1 species
GUGGUUAUAGGGGAUCUAUAGGAUAUCUAAAGGGCAUUGGGGUGGUUAUAGGGGAUCUAUAGGGUGUCUGAAGGGGGGUAGGGUGGUUAUAAGGGAUCUAUGGUGUGUCUGAAGGGGGGUACGGUGGUUAUAGGGGAUAUAUGGGGUAUCUGAAGGGGGGUGGGGUGGCUAUAGGGCAUCUAUGGGGUGUCUAAAAGGGACUGGGGUGGUUAUAGGGCAACUAUAGGGGAUCUGAAGGGGGGUGGGGUGGUUAUAGGGGGUCUAUAGGGUAUCUAAAGGGGGGGUUAUAGGGGAUCUAUACGGUGUCUAAAAGGGAGUGGGGUGGUAAUAGGGUAUCUGAAGGGGGGUGGGGUGGCUAUAGGGCAUCUAUAGGGUAUUGGAAGGGGGGGUGGGGCAGUUAUAGGGGGAUCUAUAGGGUAUCUGAAGGGGGGUGGGGUGGUUAUAGGGGAUCUGAAGGGGGGUGGGGUGGUUUUAGGGUAUCUAUAGGGUAUCUGAAGGGGGUUGGGGUGGCUAUAGGGCAUCUAUAGGGUAUCUGAAGGGGGGUGGGGUGGUUAUAGGGGAUCUAUAGGGUGUCUGAAGGGGGGGUGGGGUGGUUGUAGGGGGUCUAUAGGGUAUCUAAAGGGGGGUUUAUAGGGGAUCUAUAGGGUGUCUAAAGGGAAUUGGGGUGGUUAUAGGGCAUCUAUAGGGUAUCUGAAGGGGGUUGGGGUGGUAAUAGGGGGUCUGAAGGGGUGUGGGGUGGUUAUAGGGGAUCUAUAGGGUAUCUGAAGGGGAGUGGGGUGGUUAUAGGGGAGCUAUAGGGUGUCUGAAAGGGAUUGAGGUGGUUAUAGGGGAUUUGUAGGGUAUCUAAAGGGGGUUGGGGUGGUUAUAGGGUAUCUAUAGGGUGUCUGAAGGGGGGUGGGGUGGUUAUAGGGGAUCUAUAGGGUGUCUGAAGGGGAUUGGGGUGGUUAUAGGGGAUCUAUGGGGUGUCUGAAGGGGAUUGGGGUGGUUAUAGGGGAUCUGUAGAGUAUUUAAAGGGGAUUGGGGUGGUUAUAUGGCAUCUAUAGGGUAUCUGAAGGGGGGUGGGGUGGUUAUAGGGGAUCUAUGGGGUGUUUAAAAGGGUUUGGGGCAGUUAUAGGGGAUCUGUAGGGUAUCAAAAGGGGUGUGGGGUGGUUAUAGGGGAUCUAUAGGGGAUAUGGGGUGGAUAUGGGGUAUCUAUAGAAAAUCUAUGGGGGGGUGGGGAGGUGCCUAUAGGGGCAAGAGAUACCCUAUAGGAUCUGGGGGUACCUGUAGGAUCUGGGCAAUGCCUAUGGGGUUGGAUGGUGCCUAUAGGGGCAGGGGGAACCCUAUAGGAUCAAGGGUGCCCUAUAGGAUCUGUGGGAUGCUUAUGGGGUUGGGCGGUGCCUAUAGGAUCUGGGGGUGCCUAUAGGAUCUGGGUGGUGCCUAUAGGGGCAGGGGGUGCCCUAUAGGAUCUGGGGGAGCCCUACGGGAUCUGUGGGAUGCUUAUGGGGUUGGGCGGUGCCUAUAGGGACAGGGGGAGCCCUAUAGGAUCUGGGGGUACCUGUAGGAUCUGAGCAAUGCCUAUGGGGUUGGAUGGUGCCUAUAGGGGCAAGGGGAGCCCUAUGGGAUCUGGGGGAGCCCUAAAGGAUCUGUGCGAUGCUUAUGGGGUUGGGCGGUGCCUAUAGGAUCUGGGGGUGCCUAUAGGAUUUGGGCAAUGUUUAUGGGGUUGGGCCGUGCCUAUAGGGGCAGGGGGAGCCCCAUAGGAUCUAGGGGUGCCCUAUAGGAUCUGUGGGAUGCUUAUGGGGUUGGGCGGUGCCUAUAGGAUCUCGGGUACCUAUAGGAUCUGGGCAGUGCCUAUAGCGGCACAGGGAGCCCUAUAGGAUCAGGGGGUACCUAUAGGAUCUGGGCAAUCCCUAUGGGGUUGGUUGGUAUCUAUAGGAUCUGGGGGUACCUAUAGGAUCUGUGUGGUGCCUAUAGG